rnacentral:rRNA from 1 species
GGGCGAAAGCCUGACCCAGCCACGCCGCGUGAGUGAUGAAGGCCUUCGGGUCGUAAAGCUCUGUGGGGAGGGACGAAAAAAUGACGGUACCCGAAGAAUAAGCCACGGCUAACUACGUGCCAGCAGCCGCGGUAAUACGUAGGUGGCAAGCGUUGUCCGGAAUUACUGGGUGUAAAGGGCGUGUAGGCGGGAAUGUAAGUCAGAUGUGAAAUUCCGGGGCUCAACCCCGGCGCUGCAUCUGAAACUAUAUUUCUUGAGUGCUGGAGAGGAAAGCGGAAUUCCUAGUGUAGCGGUGAAAUGCGUAGAUAUUAGGAGGAACACCAGUGGCGAAGGCGGCUUUCUGGACAGUAACUGACGCUGAGGCGCGAAAGCGUGGGGAGCAAACAGGAUUAGAUACCCUGGUAGUCCACGCUGUAAACGAUGGAUACUAGGUGUAGGAGGUAUCGACCCCUUCUGUGCCGGAGUUAACACAAUAAGUAUCCCACCUGGGGAGUACGGCCGCAAGGUUG